UACAGAGGUCCCAAGCGUUGUUCGGAUUCACUGGGCGUAAAGGGUGCGUAGGUGGCCGGUUAAGUCUGACGUGAAAUCUCCGAGCCUAACUCGGAAACUGCAUCGGAAACUAUCCGGCUCGGGGGUUGGAGGGGGGACUGGAAUACUUGGUGUAGCAGUGAAAUGCGUAGAUAUCAAGAGGAACACCUGAGGUGAAGACGGGUUGCUGGGCUGACACUGACGCUGAGGCGCGAAAGCCAGGGGAGCAAACGGG
rnacentral:rRNA from 1 species